GGAAAGGGUGGUUGCUGCAGACACACUGUUGCUAGGAAACACUUGUAGCUUCUCCUCUUCUCUCUCUGUCUCCUUGAAGAACAAACUGACUGAAAGAAGCAGCCAGAGUGAAAUGUCACUCGAAUCAUUCCAAGGAGUUUGGGGAAUGUGGUGCAUGUAUCCAUUUCAGUACAAACAUUUAUCAAAAGAUGCUCUUUGAGCCAACGUACCCCCGUCUCUGCCCAGGGGGAAGUCUUCGUUUAAGGCACUGGCUGAGAGCUAGAGAUGUAGGAUCUUAAUUUGAGCCAGUUUGCUACAGCAGGAAAAUAAUCCUCCAGCAACAGUUAAUGUGAAUUAUUGUGUGGAUUAUAAUUAAUGGACAUUUUUGAAGGGUUUGAUACAUUUUUCGUUAGUGCAAAUCAUGUCUGAAAUUUCAAAGUAAAACUUUAGUAGCCUUUUUAAAACUCAGAUACAUUACAAGUUUGCAUUUCCUGCCAUGCAGGAAAAUUCUCAGCAAAUUAAGAUCCAGAGCUCAAUAUAUUCCUUCCUCUCCUCUCUUUUAUCCAUCUCUCUGUCUAAUUCCUUGCCAUAUGGUAUAUCAGCAUAAUCCCCCGUGCAGAUAUUUGAUUAUCAAAGCCGCCCGGCAGAAAAGGCUACGCUCUCUCUGCCACCUCCCCUCCCACUACAGUACAUUAAGAUUCAGAGUGUGUCGCCACACCACCAGUGGUCUGGUCCAGUCCUAUAAUUCCCACAGGGCAAGAGAAGGCGACUCUAGCAACCAAGCUUUAACAGGCCUAACAGCCUGACCGGUGCUGUGCUGUUGGACACACUGGUCAUCAAAGAGGCCAAUAUCAAUAUUGACUGUGGUGGAACGUCCUGUGUGGUGGAACGUCCAGACUGUUUUACACAGUCUGUUCUUUGUGUUGACCUCACUACACCCACACAACUCCUUUAUAGGACCUGGAUACACUUUACUAUCAAUACCCAGUUCUACAUUUUGGCUAUAAAGUUUUGGAGUGCCAGUUCAAACUGUCAGAAUGCUGUUGAGAAUAUCCUUUAUUUUCGCAUGCUAUGGCAGAGUGGCUCUGAAGGACUGUUGAGCAACAUACAGACAGCACCCAUCUUAUUGGGCUCUUCUACUGUCUGUCAUGGUCAAAUAAACACUCUGCCAUGUAAAUGCAUGUGUUGUCUAAGUGUCCCUGAACAGUGUCCCUGAACAGUGUCCCUGGUUGUAUAAAAACUACCAGUGAGUGCUACCUAACCUAACGACAAGUCCAUGGGGACCUGCAUGUGCAAGUGCAGUUAGUUGUGUCUGUGUUGUUUGUUCAUGUCAGGCUUGUCUGGCUAUUCAAUUAGAAUUGAAUUGAUCUACAAAUACAAACGCCACUGCACUUGCUUUUUCUUGAGGUUACCAUGGUGUCGUGUGUGCCAAAUUGCUUUCCGUAAGGCCUGAUUACGCCUUAGUGAUAAGCAGUUCAUUUAAAUUACAAGGUCCGGCCUGCGUGUUCAGGUGCCAGGCAGACCAAUUUGACAUUCAUUGUGGUGUUGAGGGAAAUAAAGUUAAUGAAGUAUGAAGUUCAAACACUGAUGAUCCAGCCUUCUUGUCAGAAUACCCAUAACCACACAACCUUUAACCUGUAUGAGUGUCACGUUCUGACCUCUAUUUCCUUUGUUUUUGUAUUUAUUUAGUAUGGUCAGGGCGUGAGUUGGGUGGGCAGUCUAUGUUUGUUUUUCUAUGUUUUGGUCUAGUUCUAUGUUCGGCCUGAUAUGGUUCUCAAUCAGAGGCAGGUGUUCGUCAUUGUCUCUGAUUGGGAACCAUAUUUAGGUAGCCUGGGUUUCACUGUGUGUUUGUGGGUGAUUGUUCCUGUCUUUGUGUUUACACCAGAUUGGGCUGUUUUGAGUUCUCACGUUUCUUGUUUUCGUUAGUUUGUUCAUGUAUAGUGUCUUCAUUAAACUACAAUGAACAACCACCACGCUGCGUUUUGGUACGCCUCUACUCCACAACAAGAGAACCGUUACAGAAUCACCCACCACAA
rnacentral:lncRNA from 13 species